CCUACGGGAUGCAGCAGUGAGGAAUAUUGGUCAAUGGGCGCAAGCCUGAACCAGCCAAGUCGCGUGAGGGAUGACGGUCCUAUGGAUUGUAAACCUCUUUUGUCGGGGAGCAAGGCCCGCCACGUGUGGCGGGAAGGAGAGUACCCGAAGAAAAAGCAUCGGCUAACUCCGUGCCAGCAGCCGCGGUAAUACGGAGGAUGCGAGCGUUAUCCGGAUUUAUUGGGUUUAAAGGGUACGUAGGCGGAAGGGUAAGUCAGCGGUCAAAUGUCGGUGCUCAACACCGGCCUGCCGUUGAAACUGGUCGUCUUGAGUGAGCGAGAAGUAUGCGGAAUGCGUGGUGUAGCGGUGAAAUGCAUAGAUAUCACGCAGAACUCCGAUUGCGAAGGCAGCAUACCGGAGCUCAACUGACGCUGAGGCACGAAAGCGUGGGGAUCGAACAGGAUUAGAUACCCCUGUAGUC
rnacentral:rRNA from 1 species